UGUUAAAAAUUUCAUCCAUUUGUAUUAUUAAAAAUUGACGUGGUUGAUAGAAUAACCAGAUAGUGACACAUGGUAUGCUACAUAUACCUCACAUUGACUUACAAUGACCAACUUUAACCAAUAGAAAUUGAUUGAAAUUUUAAUA
rnacentral:pre_miRNA from 1 species